rnacentral:rRNA from 1 species
AUUGAACGCUGGCGGAAUGCUUUACACAUGCAAGUCGAACGGCAGCACGGACUUCGGUCUGGUGGCGAGUGGCGAACGGGUGAGUAAUGUAUCGGAACGUGCCCAGUCGUGGGGGAUAACGUAGUGAAAAUUACGCCAAUACCGCAUACGAUCUAUGGAUGAAAGCGGGGGAUCGCAAGACCUCGCGCGAUUGGAGCGGCCGAUAUCAGAUUAGGUAGUUGGUGGGGUAAAGGCCCACCAAGCCAACGAUCUAUAGCUGGUCUGAGAGGACGACCAGCCCCACUGGAACUGCGACACGGUCCAGAGUCCUACGGGAGGCAGCAGUGGGGAAUUUUGGACAAUGGGCGAAAGCCUGAUCCAGCCAUUCCGCGUGCAGGAUGAAGGCCCUCGGGUUGUAAACUGCUUUUGUACAGAACGAAAAGGUUUCUACUAAUACUAGGAGCUCAUGACGGUACUGUAAGAAUAAGCAUCGGCUAACUACGUGCCAGCCGCCGCCGUAA